UACGUAGGUGGCUAGCGUUGUCCGGAUUUACUGGGCGUAAAGAGCGCGCAGGCGGUCGUUCAAGUCGAGUGUGAAAGCCCCCGGCUCAACUGGGGAGGGUCACUCGAUACUGAUCGACUCGAAGGCAGGAGAGGGAAGUGGAAUUCCCGGUGUAGUGGUGAAAUGCGUAGAUAUCGGGAGGAACACCAGUGGCGAAGGCGACUUUCUGGCUCGAUACUGACGCUGAGGUGCGAAAGCGUGGGGAGCAAACAGG
rnacentral:rRNA from 1 species